rnacentral:rRNA from 1 species
AUGACCUACGGGAGGCAGCAGUCGGGAAUAUUGCGCAAUGGAGGAAACUCUGACGCAGUGACGCCGCGUAUAGGAAGAAGGUUUUCGGAUUGUAAACUAUUGUCGUUAGGGAAGAUAAAAGACUGUACCUAAGGAGGAAGCCCCGGCUAACUAUGUGCCAGCAGCCGCGGUAAUACAUAGGGGGCAAGCGUUAUCCGGAAUUAUUGGGUGUAAAGGGUGCGUAGGUGGCAGGGCAAGUCAGAUGUGACAGCCCGGGGCUCAACCCCGGUACUGCAUUUGAAACUGUCCAGCUGGAGUGCAGGAGG